ACGGAAGGCAGCAGUGGGGAAUAUUGCACAAUGGGCGCAAGCCUGAUGUAGCGACGCCGCGUGAGCGAUGAAGUAUUUCGGUAUGUAAAGCUCUAUCAGCAGGGAAGAAAAUGACGGUACCUGACUAAGAAGCCCCGGCUAACUACGUGCCAGCAGCCGCGGUAAUACGUAGGGGGCAAGCGUUAUCCGGAUUUACUGGGUGUAAAGGGAGCGUAGACGGCGAUGCAAGUCUGAAGUGAAAGCCCGGGGCUCAACCCCGGGACUGCUUUGGAAACUGUGUUGCUAGAGUGCAGGAGGGGUAAGCGGAAUUCCUAGUGUAGCGGUGAAAUGCGUAGAUAUUAGGAGGAACACCGGUGGCGAAGGCGGCUUACUGGACUGUAACUGACGUUGAGGCUCGAAAGCGUGGGGAGCAAACAGGAUUAGAUACCCUGGUA
rnacentral:rRNA from 1 species